CUAAAGUGUUUAAUGGCACUUGUAAUCCAUUACCCACCUUGUGUGCAUUGUCAAGGAGGGAAGGAUGAUCCCCCCUUGGGGUAUUUUUUUCCCUCUUUUUCAUUCCACUCUUUCUUUAACAUCAGUCUACAUCAAUUGAGAAGUAAAAAAUCUCUAAUA
rnacentral:misc_RNA from 1 species